rnacentral:rRNA from 1 species
AGUGAACGCUGGCGGUAGGCCUAACACAUGCAAGUCGAACGGCAGCACAGGAGAGCUUGCUCUCUGGGUGGCGAGUGGCGGACGGGUGAGGAAUACAUCGGAAUCUACCUUUUCGUGGGGGAUAACGUAGGGAAACUUACGCUAAUACCGCAUACGACCUACGGGUGAAAGUGGGGGACCGCAAGGCCUCACGCGAUUAGAUGAGCCGAUGUCCGAUUAGCUAGUUGGCGGGGUAAUGGCCCACCAAGGCGACGAUCGGUAGCUGGUCUGAGAGGAUGAUCAGCCACACCGGAACUGAGACACGGUCCAGACUCCUACGGGAGGCAGCAGUGGGGAAUAUUGGACAAUGGGCGCAAGCCUGAUCCAGCCAUACCGCGUGGGUGAAGAAGGCCUUCGGGUUGUAAAGCCCUUUUGUUGGGAAAGAAAUCCUGUCGAUUAAUACUCGGUGGGGAUGACGGUACCCAAAGAAUAAGCACCGGCUAACUUCGUG